UACGUAGGGGGCAAGCGUUGUUCGGAGUUACUGGGCGUAAAGGGUGCGUAGGCGGCUUCUUAAGUCUGGUGUGAAAUCUCCCGGCUCAACUGGGAGGGUGCGCCGGAUACUGAGGGGCUAGAGUGUGGGAGAGGAAAGUGGAAUUCCAGGUGUAGCGGUGAAAUGCGUAGAUAUCUGGAGGAACACCGGUGGUGUAAACGGCUUUCUGGACCAUUACUGACGCUGAUGCACGAAAGCGUGGGUAGCAAACAGG
rnacentral:rRNA from 1 species